rnacentral:rRNA from 1 species
AGAGUUUGAUCCUGGCUCAAGAAUCAACGCUGGCGGCAUGCCUAACACAUGCAAGUCGAACGAGAAAGUCCUUCGGGAUGAGUACAAUGGCGUACGGGUGAGUAACGCGUGGGUUAUCUAACCUCUGGGUGGGGAAUAACUCGGGGAAACUCGAGCUAAUACCGCAUAAAUAACGUUUACGUUAAAGCAGACAAAUGUGCCUGGAGAUGAGCCUGCGUCCGAUUAGCUAGUUGGCGGGGUAAUGGCCCACCAAGGCGACGAUCGGUAGCCGGCCUGAGAGGGCGGUCGGCCACACUGGCACUGAAAUACGGGCCAGACUCCUACGGGAGGCAGCAGUGAGGAAUUUUGGGCAAUGGGCGAAAGCUGCACCCAGCAAUACCGCGUGAACGAUGAAGUCCUUCGGGAUGUAAAAUUCGUGGGAAGAAGAAGAACACCCU